rnacentral:rRNA from 1 species
AACGAACGCUGGCGGCAUGCCUAACACAUGCAAGUCGAACGAGACCUUCGGGUCUUGUGGCGCACGGGUGCGUAACGCGUGGGAACCUGCCCUUAGGUUCGCAAUAACUCCCCGAAAGGGGUGUUAAUACCGGAUAAUGUCUUCGGACCAAGGAUUUAUCGCCUUUGGAUGGGCCCGCGUUGGAUUAGCUAGUUGGUAGGGGAAAAGCCUACCAAGGCGUCGUUCCAUAGCUGGUCCGAGAGGAGGAUAAGCCAGACUGGGAAUAAGACACGGACCAGAAUGCGACGGGAGGGAGCAGUAGAGAAUAUUGGACGAGGGGCGAAGGCCUGAUCCAGCAGUGCCGGGGAAGUGAGGAAGGGGGUAGGAUUGUAAAGCUGUUUUACACGGGAUGAUAAUGACGGUACCGGGUAAAGAAGCACCGGCUAACUCCGUG